rnacentral:rRNA from 1 species
ACGAAGGGGGCUAGCGUUGCUCGGAAUUACUGGGCGUAAAGGGCGCGUAGGCGGACAGUUAAGUCGGGGGUGAAAGCCCGGGGCUCAACCUCGGAAUUGCCUUCGAUACUGGCUGUCUUGAGUACGGGAGAGGUGUGUGGAACUCCGAGUGUAGAGGUGAAAUUCGUAGAUAUUCGGAAGAACACCAGUGGCGAAGGCGACACACUGGCCCGUUACUGACGCUGAGGCGCGAAAGCGUGGGGAGCAAACAGGA